rfam:TPA: Bos taurus chromosome 21, whole genome shotgun sequence.
UCCCUGGUGGCUCAGACGGUAAAGCGUCUGCCUGCAAUGCGGGAGACCCGGGUUCAAUUCCUGGGUCGGGAA